GUCUGACAUAGCACUUCACAUGUGUUCAAUAUAGAGACCACAACACCAGAAAUUCCUCAGUCUUGAAGCUCACACCCUUGCUGCCAGAAAAGAAAAUCAUGUUUAUCUCCUUUCUGUUAUUGCCGUGAGCCAACAAACUUGUGAUAAAGGAC